rnacentral:tRNA from 1 species
CAGGGGAUAGUUUAACUAGAAUUUCAGCUUUGGGUGCUGAUGGUGAGGGUUAGUGAUUCCUCUUCCCUGA